rnacentral:lncRNA from 1 species
GUGAGGCCUCCCCAGCCAUGUGAAACUGAGGAAGAGGCAGAGCAAGACGGCUCAAUAGAAGCCUCCACUAAUUGUCCUCCCCACUGGAACACCAAAUUGAACAACUAUCCACACAAAGAAGCACCUUCGUAAGAACCAAAAAUCAGGUGCCAGACAGAAAGUCAUCUCUCUGCUCAACUGAGACAAAUGCAGAUUCAUUGAGCCAGACUAAGGCAUAAGUGACUAUUCCUCUAUGUUCCCCAACAUGUAAAUUGUGGAUUCAGUGAAAGGCUGAUUGAAGAGUCAGAAGAAUGUAACUUUUUGUCUCUUAUCUACCUGGAACCACACCUUAUCUACCUGGAACUGUCCCCUCCCCGCCCCCCCAAUCCCGCCCUGUUUUGAGUUGUCCUG